rnacentral:misc_RNA from 1 species
GAUGAAGAACGCAGCGAAAUGCGAUAAGUAAUGUGAAUUGCAGAAUUCAGUGAAUCAUCGAAUCUUUGAACGCACAUUGCGCCCGCUAGUAUUCUGGUGGGCAUGCCUGUCCGAGCGUCAUUUCAACCCUCGGGAGCCCCUUUGCGGGGGCUGCCGGUGUUGGGGAUCGCCCGCCGCCAUGGUGGACGUCCCCUAAAACGAUUGGCGGUCUCGCUGUAGCCUCCUCUGCGCAGUAGCACUUGUUCUCGCAGGCGGAGCGCGGCGCGGCCAAGCCGUUAAACCCCCAACCUUUUUACUAGGUUGACCUCGGAUCAGGUAGGAAUACCCGCUGAACUUAAGCAUAUCAAUAAGCGGAGGA